rnacentral:rRNA from 1 species
GACGAACGCUGGCGGCGUGCUUAACACAUGCAAGUCGAACGAAGUGGCGAACGGGUGAGUAAUACGUGGGUAACCUGCCCUCCUUUUUGGGAUAAGCCUUGGAAACGGGGUCUAAUACCGAAUAAAGGGGGAUGGGCUCGCGGCCUAUCAGCUUGUUGGUGGGGUGAUGGCCUACCAAGGCGGUGACGGGUAGCCGGCCUGAGAGGGGGCCCGGCAACAUUGGGACUGAGAUACGGCCCAGAAUACGACGGGAGGCAGCAGUGGGGGAUAUUGGAGAAAGGGGGAAAGACUGAUGCAGCGACGCCGCGGGGGGGAUGAAGGCUUUCGGGUUGUAAACCUAGUUCGCGAUCGAAAGGGUAGGUGGAGAAGAAGCGCCGGCUAACUACGUGCCAGCAGCCGCGGUAAUAC